rnacentral:lncRNA from 1 species
GGUCUGAUACUGCUAAUAUGGUUUCUUUCUAUAAAGUUCUAAAGUCAGUCUAUUUUCAGGAGGCAGAUGUGUAAUCAAGGAAUGGCAUAUACUUCGUAAGCCUCGAGGUGCAAUGCAGUCAGCGCUCUACGGUUGUGGAUGUUCACUGGGGACUGAAAUGGUGAUUAGAUAUGCUUUUGUGUUUUUGGAAUUUGAUGGGGAUUGCACUGGAUCACUUUUGGUAAUAUCAUCACUGGACUGGUUUGACCCACUGGCUGCCAAGAUACUGCUACCUGCUGAGAGGCCCUGGAGCUAUUUGGGAGACUACACCCUAUCCUGCACGUCAUCACCUGCAGCUGGUUCCAGACUCCAAGUUCCAAGAUGCCUUCCAGGCUAAAACCCGGACAUGUGAGCCACUGGCAGGCCCCAACAAUUACACGAACCAACGUGGAACCUGGGAAAGGCAGAGGACAUUUGGAAGAAGCACUGCUGGUUUGGAGCUCCAUGGAAGAAGAAAAGAAUUAAAGAAAACCCGUACUGGAGAAGGUUGGUACGGGCUAAGCUGGAACAGUGCUAAAAGCCACGAGCUGGAUUCACUUAGGUUCAGCAGUGAGCUAUCAGGAACUAGGAACUCAACAGGCAGGCAGUUGGCCACAGCUUCUAGAAGCUGCUUUUUUAGGCGAGAGAAAUAAAAGGGUUUAAUAAAAGGUAUUUUAUAAUCAGGUGGAUGGCCGCAGUUGGAAACUGCAUGAGGCAGGAGGAAAGUGGAUUUUGAAACUCUCCCAGGGACAGAGAGAAAAUUGGGGAAUCCCCUC